rnacentral:rRNA from 1 species
GCAGUCUGCAACUCGAGUGCAUGAAGCUGGAAUCGCUAGUAAUCGCGGAUCAGAAUGCCGCGGUGAAUACGUUCCCGGGUCUUGUACACACCGCCCGUCACACCAUGGGAGUCGGGAAUGCCCGAAGCCGGUGGCCCAAUCGAAAGAAGGGAGCCGUCGAAGGCAGGCCGGAUGACUGGGGUGAAGUCGUAACAAGGUAUC